rnacentral:lncRNA from 1 species
UAAGACAAUGCCAAGUCAAGAAGAGGUCAUUUAUUCUUUCUAGUCAAGACACCAGCACUACUUGAUCUUAAUAAAAGCUUGCUUUGUUGUAAGAAAACUGGCCUCUUCUCUAUGAUGCCUACGGAGCAGGGGUUGUUCGAGAAUUCACACAUCUCUUAAGAUCUGCCAGGUCAAAACAAUAACAGAAUGACUGGGAUAUAGUGGAUUCACAAUAAAGAACUAACCUCAAGUCUCAGUCAUGCCUCUCACAAGACCCACUCUGUUUUUCUCCUUCUCUAAGGAAAAACACACACUGUAAAAUAAGAACACUUCAAAGACAACUUGGAGCCAUCUGGGGAUUCUAAAGGCUGAAAAUUCCAUGAGUUCAUAGUAGUCUUCACUAAUUCCACCGAUCACAAGUCAAAAGGGAAAGCCAAGUGUGCCCAAACACAUUUUUGAGGAUUUCUUCCAUCCUCUCCUUGCAGCCUCUCUGGGGGUGGCUGUGCCUGUGAAAAGCAUUGAGAGUCUCAGAAAGAGAGUCACCUUUCAAGACUGGAAUGUCAGAAUAGUCUUUUCUUUAUACCAGAGGGCUCAAGGGGGAAGAGCUUCCAGAUCUUCACGAAGCUGAGCAGGCAUAGGGAUACAGACACUGACCCUUUGAGGAAAUAAUUGCCAAGACAUUGAAAAAAUAAAAAUAAAUGUAAAGCAAGAAGGUGAACAUAAAGCUGAAAGGAAGAAGUACCCAUCCCACAAAGUACCCACCCAACAAAGGCACAUUGCAGCGCUCUGGAAAGAUUGGAGGUUAUGUGGUUGCGUGCACUGUGGGCACUUUCUUGUAAAAAGUGAGCCCUUUACAUUACAACUACUGCCUAUAAGUAUAAUAAAUGGCCUCAGUAGGAAGCAUGAAGUAACUUAGGGUGUUUCCAGGAGUUACAGUGAGAUGGUUAUGAAAUUAUUUGUAGAGAAAUCUUUAAGUGUUUAGGGAUAAUUUGUGAAUAGGUAACCAGAAAGUAUCUUUGGUCAUCACUAGGCCAUUAGAUAACAUGAAACUGGACAUGGGAAUCAAAGAAAGAUUGACCACUAGAAUGAAAACUCCAAAAAAAAAUUGUAUGUAUGUGUGUUUUCUAUUUGCUGUUUCAAUAUCAGCUCUGAAGAAAUGCUUAUCAUUAGUAAGUCCUUGGUGAGAAAGAAUCUUGACUGGGCAUUUUCUAUGAUCAUCCUAGAUGAAAUGUUAAUGGCUCGAAAAGUACAAAUAAUAAGUAACAGUUCCAUUUUGUAUCACACCACUCACAUUGGUUCUCCAUUCUGUGAGCGUGAGAGCUGUUCCAGCAUGGCCAAGUGUAGAAAGAUGGUCCCAGUGAACAAAAGAGCACAUCAUUUGUCCAAACAUAUCUGCUGCUUUAUAAAGAGUUUCUUGUUAAUUUAACGUUUGCUGGGAAAACUGAAUUGCUUUCAUUAUUCCAAUUAGGAUACUACUGAAGAAUUUACUUUUCAAAUAAGUUUUGUUAUGGGUCAGUGAACAAAGAUACUUUAAUUAUAAUUCAAAUGAAACACAUAUUAACAAAUCAACAAAAACCAAUUUCUAUCUGAGAAAGAGUCAUCCCUAUUGGUUUUCCGAAAACCUGAUUGUGACUAAUAUUUUCAAAGGGACUGGAUUAGCUCCAAAGUGGCAUUUCAUUUAACUGGAGGCCCUUUUGGCACCACUUAUCCCUUUUUGUGCAUUCAAGAAACGUCCUUGCUCUGCUUCCUGCCAUAGAUACAAACUUACACUGAAGAACUCACCUAUGUUAAACAAUUAGAAAAAUGCACAGAAAACCUGCAACAGCAAUUCAUUAUCACAGACCUCAAUUACCCUGAAUGGAACACAAACAGCAUAAUGUGCUCUUUCCAAGCAUCAAUGUUAUAAAAAUGAAACAUGUAAUGAAAACUAUCAGUUUUACUCUUACCAUACACAAUAUACACUACAAACAAAUCAUAAAACCCAAAACUAUAAAACUUUAUGAACUUGAGCAGGAAAGACAUCUGAGGACCCAAACUAGUAAAAAUAGAUUUAAUGGCUGGUUAAAGUGCAUACUUCACAAACACAAGGGCAGGAGUUCAGAGGCCAAGAACCUAUGUAUUUCGAGAGAUGGCUCAGAGGCUAAAAGCACCAACUGAUCUUGCAGAGGACCUGGGUUCAUUUCCCAGCACCCACAUUGUGGCUCCCAAGAACCUAUGUAAAUAUCAGGCAGCCACCUAUAAUUCCAGCCUUAGAGGGCAGAGAAUGGGUGCCAGAGAAACUGCGUUAUGGAAAUUAGCCAUGUGAGGCAAGCUUGGAGUUUGAUUGCGACCCUAUUGUUCAACAUCAUUAGCCAUGAAGGAUCAUGAGUCAAAACUACUUGGGUUGUUUCCAGUUUCUUUCUUCAUGUAUUUGCCGCUAUUAAAUAGGCAGUCUACGUUUGGUCUUAGAUUCAUUUUAGUAGUGGCAGUUUUAAAUCAUUGGUUUUGAUGGGUUUGCUUAAAUUAUUAACUUCAUAUAGACUUAAUUUUGAUAAGUAC